rnacentral:tRNA from 1 species
GGCCCUAUAGCUCAAUUGGACAGAGCAUCGCCCUUCUAAGGCGAGGGUUGGCGGUUCGAUCCCGUCUAGGGUCG